rnacentral:Y_RNA from 1 species
GGCUGGUCCGAAGCUAGUGAGUUAUCUUGAUUGAUUGUUCAGUCAGUUACAGAUCGAACUCCCUGUUCUACUCUUUCCCCCCUUCUCACUACUGCACUUGACUAGUCUUAA